UAGGGAAUAUUGCACAAUGGCGGAAACUCUGAUGCGGCGACGCCGCGUGAGUGAUGAAGGCCUUCGGGUCGUAAAGCUCUGUCGCAGGGGAAUAACACAAUGAAGGUACCCUGUAAGAAAGGAUCGGCUAACUUCGUGCCAGCAGCCGCGGCAAGACGAGGGAUCCUAGCGUUGUUCGGAAUCAUUGGGCGUAAAGCGGGUGUAGGUGGCUUUGUAAGUCAGGUGUGAAAGCCUAGGGCUCAACCCUAGAAGUGCAUUUGAUACUGCGAAGCUUGAGUGCUAGAGAGGUUACUAGAAUUGUUGGUGUAGUGGUGAAAUACGUAGAUAUCAACAGGAAUACCGGUGGCGAAGGCGGGUAACUGGCUAGACACUGACACUCAGACCCGAAAGUGCGGGGAUCAAACAG
rnacentral:rRNA from 1 species